GGUUGCCUGCAAUGCCCGUGAUGGUGUGCUUCAAUUUUGGGGCCAACACUCUCACACAAGGGAACUGGCGUUAAAAAUGUGAAUGUGUUAGGCAUUUGCCAAGACAGGAUCAUUUGCACAGUACCCACCUGCUACGGCAGGUCUCAAAUUUCCCGCCACACGGCAAAGCGGGUUGUCC
rnacentral:other from 1 species